UUCCUACAAAAAGGAAACAGUGGGGAAUAUUGCACAAUGGGCGCAAGCCUGAUGCAGCCAUGCCGCGUGUAUGAAGAAGGCCUUCGGGUUGUAAAGUACUUUCAGCGGGGAGGAAGGGAGUAAAGUUAAUACCUUUGCUCAUUGACGUGUACCCGCAGAAGAAGCACCGGCUAACUCCGUGCCAGCAGCCGCGGUAAUACGGAGGGUGCAAGCGUUAAUCGGAAUUACUGGGCGUAAAGCGCACGCAGGCGGUUUGUUAAGUCAGAUGUGAAAUCCCCGGGCUCAACCUGGGAACUGCAUUUGAUACUGGCAAGCUUGAGUCUCCUUGAGGGGGGUAGAAUUCCAGGUGUAGCGGUGAAAUGCGUAGAGAUCUGGAGGAAUACCGGUGGCGAAGGCGGCCCCCUGGACGAAGACUGACGCUCAGGUGCGAAAGCGUGRGGAGCAAACAGGA
rnacentral:rRNA from 1 species